UACGUAGGGACCAAGCGUUGUUCGGAUUUACUGGGCGUAAAGGGCGCGUAGGCGGCGUGUUAAGUCACUUGUGAAAUCUCUAAGCUUAACUUAGAACGGUCAAGUGAUACUGAUGUGCUAGAGUGCAGAAGGGGCAACCGGAAUUCUUGGUGUAGCGGUGAAGUGCGUAGAUAUCAAGAGGAACACCUGAGGUGAAGACGGGUUGCUGGGCUGACACUGACGCUGAGGCGCGAAAGCUAGGGUAGCAAACGGG
rnacentral:rRNA from 1 species